rnacentral:rRNA from 1 species
CCUACGGGGGGCAGCAGUGAGGAAUAUUGGUCAAUGGACGAGAGUCUGAACCAGCCAAGUAGCGUGAAGGAUGACUGCCCUAUGGGUUGUAAACUUCUUUUAUAAAGGAAUAAAACGAGGCACGUGUGCCUUUUUGCAUGUACUUUAUGAAUAAGGAUCGGCUAACUCCGUGCCAGCAGCCGCGGUAAUACGGAGGAUCCGAGCGUUAUCCGGAUUUGUUGGGUUUAAAGGGAGCGUAGAUGGGUUGUUAAGUCAGUUGUGAAAGUUUGCGGCUCAACCGUAAAAUUGCAAUUGAUACUGGCAGUCUUGAGUACAGUUGAGGUAGGCGGAAUUCGUGGUGUAGCGGUGAAAUGCUUAGAUAUCACGAAGAACCCCGAUUGCGAAGGCAGCUUACUAAACUGUGACUGACAUUGAUGCUCGAAAGUGUGGGUAUCAAACAGGAUUAGAUACCCUGGUAGUC